AUACUCUUGUUUCUCUUCAGAUCGCAUAAAUCUUUCGCCUUUUACUAAAGAUUUCCGUGGAGAGAAACACUUCUGAGUGUCCUACCAAUUUUUUGAGGUCUUGCUUUGGCAGGACU